AACAUCGCGCACCUGCGGGAACCUGCGGAAGGAUCAUUACACAAUAAAAUAUGAAGGCUGUACGCGGCUGUGCUCUCGGGCCAGUUUUGCGGAGGCUGAAUUAUUUAUUACCCUUGUCUUUUGCGCACUUGUUGUUUCCUGGGCGGGUUCGCCCGCCACCAGGACCACAUCAUAAACCUUUUUUAUGCAGUUGCAAUCAGCGUCAGUAUAACAAAUGUAAAUCAUUUACAACUUUUAACA
rnacentral:misc_RNA from 1 species